rnacentral:rRNA from 1 species
UACGUAGGAGACUAGCGUUGUCCGGAAUUACUGGGUGUAAAGCGCACGUAGGCGGAUUGCUAAGUCAGGGGUGAAAUCCUGGAGCUCAACUCCAGAACUGCCUUUGAUACUGGCGACCUUGAGUCCGGGAGAGGUGAGUGGAACUGCGAGUGUAGAGGUGAAAUUCGUAGAUAUUCGCAAGAACACCAGUGGCGAAGGCGGCUCACUGGCCCGGUACUGACGCUGAGGUGCGAAAGCGUGGGGAGCAACAGG